AUUAGUAUUUGUUAUGUUCUUGAAAAUUAAAAGAUUUGGCGGUAUUUUAGUCUAUUCAGAGGAACUUGUCCUAUAAUUGAUAGCCCACGAUUUACUUAACUUUUUUUCUUAGCUUGUAUAUCGUCGUUUUUGAAAAUUUUAUGAAAAUUAUUAAUUUUCAAGAUUUUUAAUUAAAAAUUAAAUCAGAUCAAGAUGUAGCUAAUAAAAAAGUAGAGAUGAGUUACAUUAAAUUUAUUUGAAAAUUCUUAUUAGAAUAAUAUUUUGAAUAUGGAUUUGAAAGUAAUUUUAUUUAAUUAUUUAAAAUGAUUUUAGCUCUAAAGUAUGUACACAUCGCCCG
rnacentral:rRNA from 1 species